ACUGCGACGGCGUUGACUGAGGGGGCGCCACUAGGCGCGGUCACGUGCAUUCGCGGUGCAUUCGCGGGGGCGUCGGUGCGGGUCGCGUCUCUUAAGACACCCAGGGAGACAGACGUGGGGCAGAACUCAUGGGCUGAAGUGAGAGAUGGCUGGGGCCCAGGCGAGCGACCGAGCAGGGUCCGAACAGAGCCAGCGAGGGACCCCGGGCUGUGCUUGAGGCCCGACGACGCGCCAUAUCCCGGCAGCGCCGCAGCUCAGGCCUCUGCGAAUCUGUGGUCCACACGCUGAUAAACUUAGAGGCCUCUGCACUGGGGCAGAAACCGAAAGGCAUGACCCAGACCGAGAAAGAUAUUUGCAUACUGAGAAAGUGUGAAACACAAUUGUCGAGACUAAAAGGAGACACUGAGAGGAUACGCCAAUCAGGUUAGUUCAGAUGUUUGUUGAGCACACUCCAUGUUCCUGGGGAUCCACCCUUAUAGAAGUUACCUUUUAGAGAGAGGAGACAGACAAAUACGUGUAAUGCUCAAGUUGUGAUAAGUACGAUGAAGAAGUACAAAGCAGAAGGGAGGGCGCGGUGUCUCACGCCUAUCAUCCCAGCACUUUGGGAGGCCGAGGCGGGCGGAUCACUUGAGGUCAGGAGUUUGAGACCAGGUCUCUACUAAAAAUACAAAAAUUAAGUCCGGGCGAGGUGGCUCACGCCUGUAAUCCUAGCACUUUGGGAGGCCGAGGCGGGCGGAUCACGAGGUCAGGAGUUCAAGACCAGCCUGGCCAACAUGGCGAAACCCUGUCUCUACUAAAAAUACAAAAAUUAGCCGGGCGCAGUGGUGGGCGCCUGUCAUCCCAGCUACUUGGGAGGCUGAGGCAGGAGGACAAAGCAGAGAGUAAGGGAUUAGGGGGUGGUGGGUCGAAACACAUGAGAGAUACAUUUGCGUUCAGAGACAGACCGAGAUUGGUACAGAUAGGCAGAAAUGCUGACAGAGCAGGUAAUGAAAUAGAAAUGCAAAGAUAGAGUCACUAAAACCAAAACAUCGAGGUUUAGAGAAAAAGAGACACACCAGGUUAAGAAACAGUCACAAACAACAGAGGUUGAAAAAAUAAAAAUUAGAGUCCUGAAGCAGGUGGAUACCAAGGAAAGCUAAGACAACGAGACGGACAAUGACCCAGGCACUGCUUCUGAACCUUUUCCCCUGCCAUGUUUGGAGGGAGAAGGAAGAGCGGCAGACCCUAUAUCCUCUUUGUUCAACUCUUCCAAGUUUAAAACCAUCAACUCUUGACUUCUAGACAUCAACAAAGAUUAAUUAGUCAAUCUCAAAGGAGAAUAAACAAAGUUUUUUGUUUGUUUGUUUGUUUAACUCUCUGGUGGAAGCUGGUGUGGUGGCUCACGCCUGUAAUCCCAACUUGGGCCCAAGAAUUCAAGACUAGCCUGGGCAACACAGCAAUACCCUGUCUCUAAAACAGAGAAACAAACAAACAAAAAAUCCUGUGGGGGAAAAAGGAUGUGACACAUGAGAAAAGGAAUAAACUGCUCCAGCCAAAAUUUACUCCUUCAAAAUAUAUUUAGCCCAUGAAGCAGGACCCAAUUUUAGAAAAUACCUAAUUCUUGAGUUAAUGGGUGCAGCACACCAGCAUGGCACAUGUAUACAUAUGUAACUAACCAGCACAUUGUGCACAUGUACCCUAAAACUUAAAGUAUAAUAAUAAUAAUAAAAAGAAAAUACCUAAUUCUUAUUCUCAAAAGAGGACAUUGCAUAUUUUUUUAAAAAACAGGCCAAGAUAAAUGGAGUACCAUGAAAUUAAAACCACAAUAACCGGCCGGGCGCGGUGGCUCACGCCUGUAAUCCCAGCACUUUGGGAGGCGGAGGAGGGCAGAUUGCCCAAGCUCAGAAACUGGGGACCAGCCUGGGCAACAUGGUGAAACCCCGUCUCUACUAAGAUACAAAAAAUUAGCUGGGCCUGCCGGUGUGCCUGUAGUCCCAGCUACUCGGGAGGCUGAGGCAGGAGAAUUGCUUGAACUCGGGAGGCAGAGGUUACAGUGAGCUGAGAUCGCGCCACUGCACUCCAGCCUGGGCCACAGAGUGAGACUCCGUCUCAAAAAAAAAAAAAAAAAAGAGGCCGGGUGCGGUGGCUCACGCUUGUAAUCCCAGCACUUUGGGAGGCCGAGAUGGGCGGAUCACAAGGUCAGGAGAUCGAGACCAUCCUGGCUAACAUGGUGAAACCUCGUCUCUACUAAAAAUACAAAAAAAAAAAAAAAAAAAAUUAGCCGGGCGUGGUGGCGAGUGCCUGUAGUCCCACCUACUCCGGAGGCUGAGACAGGAGAAUGGCGUCAACCCGGGAGGCGGAGCUUGCAGUGAGCCGAGGUCACGCCACUGCACUCCAACCUGGGUGACAGAGCAAGACUCCGUCUCAAAAAAAAAAAAAAAAAAAGUAGACUUGAUGCAGAAGAGUACAUCAGCAAUAUAGAAGAUAAACAUGAGAAAAUUUUCAAGAAUAUAGAACAAAGUGAUGGAAUCCUGUAAGAGAAGAUAAUGGGGAUGGACAGCAUCUAGGGAUUCUAACUCUAGGCAUCCCCACAGGAAGACAGAGCAAAUCGGUUAGAGCGAAUAAUCAAAAUUACAAUAGGAGAAAAGUUUCCUUAGGUUGCAAAAAGGUCUGAGGUGGAGGUGGGAAAUAGAGUGGGUUCACUGAGAUUGAGAAAAAUUAAGAAGAAACCAACAACACAUAAUCUGGGAAAAUCAUUAAGUUUCAGGGAUAAAGAACAGACACUAAUAGACCCAAUUAGGGAAAAAAAUGUUAUUUAUAAAAAAGCUGGCCAGCAGGCACGGUGGCUCGUGCCUGUAAUCCCAGCACUUUGGGAGGCCGAGGCGGGCGGAUCAUGAGGUCAGGAGUUCUAGACCAGCCUGGCCAACAUGGCGAAACCCCAUCUCUUCUAAAAAUACAAAAAUUAGCUGGGUGUGGUGGUGUGUGCCUGUAAUUCCAGCUUCUUGGGAGGCUGAGGCAGGAGAAUUGCUUGAAUCCAGGAGGUGGAGGUUGCAGUGAGCCGAGAUCGUGCCACUGCACUCCAGUCUGGGCAACAGAGUGAGAUUCCGUCUCCGGGGGAAAAAAAGAUGGCUGGGCGAGGUGGCUCACACCUGUAAUCCCAGCACUUUGGGAGGCUGAGGCGGGUGGAUCACCUGAGGUCAGGAGUUCGAGACCAGCCUGGCCAACGUGGUAAAACCUUGUCUCUACUGAAAAUACAAAAAUUAGCCGAGCAUGAUGGCUGGCACCUGUAAUCCUAGCUACUUGGGAGGCUAAGGCAGGAGAAUCGCUUGAACCCGGAAGGCAUAGGUUGCAGUGAGCCGAGAUUGCACCAUUGCACUCCAGUCUGGGUGAUAAGAACGAGACUCCAUUUAAAAAAAAAAAAAGCUAAAAACUGGCUUUAUUCAGAUUUUUCCUCUGCAACACUUAAAAGCCAAAGGAAAAUAGAACAAGAUUGACAACACUUUGAAGGGGUAGGUUUCGACCCUUCAUAGAUUCAUAGAUGGUGGCAAGAACGAGACUCCAUCUCAAAAAAAAAGCUAAAAACUGGCUUUCUUCAGAUUUCUCCUCUGCAACACUUAAAAGACAAAGGAAAAUAGAACAAGAUUGACAACACUUUGAAGGGGUAGAUUUUGACCCUUCAUAGAUGAUUUCAUUCACUCCAGUGCCUUAAUUCCUCC
rnacentral:lncRNA from 10 species